GGUUUAGCCACUCAUAUUUACAACAAAGCGAAAGGAAAUGAAUUUAAACAUUAGAAACAAAAGAAAGAAAACACCUAAACGCUCCGACGAUCCAAGUUGGACAGCAAGCACGUCCAAACACUUUCCUUCCCUUCCUUUGCUAUGGCACAAGGUGUUGGUGAGUGUUUGAAGGUUUGUUUGUAUGGAGGAAUGGAUGUGAAGAUGAAUGGAUGUGUUUGGAUGAAGGUUAUGUUGAAAUGGGAGUGAAUGAUCUAACAAAGUAUGAACUCAAUUUAUGUUACACACACUUCCUUUUAUAGAGGAAGUGCAAGGCAAAGCAUGGGUAAAAUGGAGUGGUGUUGAAAUCAUUCAAAGGUGAAAGUGAAUUGAUGAUUGAUGCAAGAAUUAAACAUGGAUGGAGUGCACGGCAAAGGUUUGUUAUGGUACAAGGAACCCUUAAUUUGUGUCCUAAAAUGCAUGUGAAACCUUCAAUGU
rnacentral:lncRNA from 1 species